CCCUCCCUCUGGCGGCAGGCCUAACACAUGCAAGUCGAGCGGGCAUUUCGGUGCUAGCGGCGGACGGGUGAGUAACGCGUGGGAACGUGCCCUUUUCUGCGGAAUAGUCCUGGGAAACUGGGGGUAAUACCGCAUACGCCCUUUUGGGGAAAGAUUUAUCGGAGAAGGAUCGGCCCGCGUUGGAUUAGGUAGUUGGUGGGGUAAUGGCCCACCAAGCCGACGAUCCAUAGCUGGUUUGAGAGGAUGAUCAGCCACACUGGGACUGAGACACGGCCCAGACUCCUACGGGAGGCAGCAGUGGGGAAUCUUAGACAAUGGGGGCAACCCUGAUCUAGCCAUGCCGCGUGAGUGAUGAAGGCCUUAGGGUUGUAAAGCUCUUUCAGCUGGGAAGAUAAUGACGGUACCAGCAGAAGAAGCCCCGGCUAACUCCGUG
rnacentral:rRNA from 1 species